rnacentral:rRNA from 1 species
UGUCUAUUGUAAUAAAUGAUAGGUAAUUUCUGCUCACUGCAAUUUUGUAAAGAGCUGCAGUAUUUUGACUGUAUAAAGGUAGCAUAAUCAUUAGCUUCUUAAUUAGAGGCUGGUAUGAAUGGGGAGCCGGGGAGAUCGUGUGUUUAUGGAGAGCGUUGAAUUUUAUAGUUUUGUGAAAAAUCAAAGAUGAAUUUAAGGGACAAGAAGACCCUAUUUUAAGUUUUAUGAGUAAAUUUUGGAGAGUAUAAAGGAUAUAAGAGUUAGAUUAAAAUUAGUACAAUUUAAGAAUAUUUGUUUAGCUGGGGCGGUGAGUUUAAAUACACAAUAUAAAUUUUAAUAAUUUUUGUUUAGCGGGCAUUUGACCUGAUGAGGUCAAUUAAAUGGAUAAUUACUUUAGGGAUAACAGCGUUAUUAUUUUUGAGAGUUCUGAUUGACGGAGUAGUUUGCGACCUCGAUGUUGGAUUAAGAUUAGCGUUGGUGCAGUAG